rnacentral:rRNA from 1 species
GGGCUUGACAUCCCACGAACCUGCCCGAAAAGGUGGGGUGCCCGCAAGGGAGCGUGGAGACAGGUGGUGCAUGGCUGUCGUCAGCUCGUGUCGUGAGAUGUUGGGUUAAGUCCCGCAACGAGCGCAACCCUCACCCCUAGUUGCCACCGGGUUAAGCCGAGCACUCAAGGGGAACUGCCAGCGUCAAGCUGGAGGAGGGCGGGGAUGACGUCAAGUCAUCAUGCCCCUUACGCCCUGGGCUACACACGUGCUACAAUGGCCAGUACAAAGGGACGCGAGACUGCGAAGUGGAGCUAAUCCCAAAAAGCUGGUCUAAGUUCAGAUUGCAGUCUGCAACUCGACUGCAUGAAGGAGGAAUCGCUAGUAAUCGCGUAUCAGCCCGGCGCGGUGAAUACGUUCCCGGGCCUUGUACACACCGCCCGUCACACCACGAAAGCUGUCUGUACUCGAAGUCGCUGAG